UCCCUCUCAGGGUCGGACUUGAAGAGUUUCCAAAACUCUACCAGUCUCAACUACAGGAGGGAGAGUCAAGCAGAGGUAUAUCCAUUCCAUUCCUAGCUUGGGCAGUGGCUAGCGAGUGGAAGGCAAUCUGUGGCAAGU